rnacentral:rRNA from 1 species
AGGGGGCAACCCCCUGUGAGUGGCAAACGGGUGAAUCAUGCUUCCCAACCUGCCCAGUCGUGGGGGAUAACCCAAGGAAAAUUACGCUAAUACCGCAUACCAGCUAUGGAUGAAAGCGGGGGAUCGCAAGACCUCGCGCGAGUGGAGCGGCCGAUAUCAGAUUAGGUAGUUNNNNNNNUAAACGCCCCCCAACCCAACGAUUUGUAGCUGGAGUGAGAGGACGACCCGCCCCACUGGAACUGAAACACCGCCCCCACUCCUACGGGAGGCAGCCAUGUGGAAUUUUGGACAAUGGACGCAAG